GAUAAAAUGGCUGAUUAAGGCUAUAAAUUGUAAAUUUAUUUAUGAAAUUUUUCUUUUAUUA
rnacentral:tRNA from 2 species